GACAGACGACGCUUCUGAAAAAGAAAACAUAAGAUCUCUGUAAACAAGUGACUGUGAAUGUUUGUUUACGACCGGCGCUUAGUUUGUACGAACUUCGAAAGUUAGCGGACAGCUGUGUGACGUGCUGUGCGAGGCUGUCUCUUCGAAAAAUACCAAAGCUUCUCCGCACUGUUGUCGGCACAGAAAGUGCCUGGCCCGCUGACUGGUAAAUCUUCGCAUUCUUCCGGCAACCUGCCGUGUUCGCAGGGACGCUUGCUCGGUGCCUGAAGGGUGGGUGAUGAGCCUGUUCGAGGGCGCGACGACGGCGCGGCCGCCCUCCGGCCGCAGGCUGCAGCGCCAGGAGGAGGCGCUGGUGCGCAAGCGCAACGCGGACGACGACCGCCUGCGGCACUGGGACGGCGUGCGCAGCUACUUCUGCGACUGGGACCGCCAGAUGACCCAGUACAACAACUGGGCGUCGCCGCAGUACUACCAGGCCAGCCAAGAGCGACUGCAGAAGGAGGCUGCGGAGAAGCAGCGGCGUGUGUGCCUGGAACAGCGCAGGCAACGCCUCCGCGAGCUGCUCGAGGCAGAAAGGCAGCAGCUGGAUGCGGAGCGUGCGGCGGCAGCCAGGGAGCGGGGGCGGGGCCGGGGGCGGCCGCCACUUCAGCUGCAGGAGGCAUCGCUGGCGGCGCUCGAGCUGCGCAGGCGCGAGGACGCGGCGCGUCUGCGCGAAGCCGAGCUGCGCCUCCACCACCAGUGGUGCCGCGGGCAGCCCGUACUGAGGCAGUGGGAACGGCAGAAGCAACAGCAGUUGGUUCAACGGGCGUGGGUGGAUCAGGUCAAGGAGCAGCAAGAGCUAAGAGCAAAGAGAGAGCAGGAAGAAAUGGAAGCAUUGCGUGAGCGAGAGGCUAAGCUUUUGGAAGAACAACGUAAGCAGGAGGAGCUGAAGGAGCUGAAGAGAAAGAAGGCUGAGUUGCUACAGCAGCAGCUGGUGGAGCAGAUUGCUGUAAUAAAGGAGAAGGAGAAAGAAUCAGAAGCUUUAAAAAGGCAAGAAGCAGAAGCAAUAAGGAAGCAGGCAGAACUGGAAGAACUACGGCAGCAGAGAGAACGAACUCAAGAGAAACUUCGAAAGCAACAACUGCAUGUAUUUCACCGACAGCAGUAUCAGCUUCAGUUACGUAAAAGAGCUCGUGAAGUAUUAGAACAAGUAGAGGAAGAUCUUAAAAUGUUGGAAAGGAUCAUUGCACUAGAACAAGAAGAGGCAGAGGAAGAAAAGAUCCAAAGAGCAGCGUUAAAAUUACAGAUGCUGAGAACACAACAUCAGUUAAAAAUGCAACGGGAAGAAGAGAAGAAAAGAAUUGCAGACAUGGAGUUAAUGUUUGAUGAAGAAGCACGGUUGAUGUGGCAAAAGCAGGAUUCUCGUUGGAAAGCCGAAGAGCAGGCCAGAGAAGUGCUGAUGUUACAAGUCCUCCAGGCUGUGCAACAGCAGCUGGAAGAAAAGCUUCAACGCAAUCUGUCAGAACAACGUGCUCUAAUACUGGAGCGAGAAAAUAUUCUUGCUGAGGUGGAAGCAGCACAUCAGCAGCUUCAGGCAGAACGAGAGGAGCAGGGACUUGCCAAGAGAAAUCACAAACUGGAAAUUGAGAAACAACUAUUGCAAAAACAACUAGAUGAAGUGGACCAACUCCAAAAGGAAAGAGAAGCUGCUGAACGAGAAAAACGAAAGAUCAUUGAAGAGGAAGAACGGAUUCUUGCUGAGAUGAGGCGCUUGGAAAAAGAAGCUUAUCUGUUACCAAUCCAAUAAGCAUUAAACGUCCUCAGUCAUACUAAUUUGGUAGAUGCUGAUAACAAUUCCAUAUUUCAGCUGGGAUAUAUUGGCAGAUAUCAAAAUCACCGUAGGAAGCGCAUUAUUUGGUGACGAGCUUAAUCAGUAACUGCUAGAAGAUUGCUGGUUGGUGCUUUAUUUGUUGUUACAACAUGAAUGUAAUUUGAUGAUUUUGUGUCUAAAAGUAUUGUAACAUAUGUUGUGCAUUGAUAUUAUCUGUUUCAUUGUUAAAUCGUUAUUGCACUUCUAUUACCAGAAUUCAAUAUAAUGUGUUUCUAGUGUAACUACAAGACCACAUCACAUUUUAUGUUUUUAUCUGAAUUGCUUGUUGUAUAACAUGACCAUGCUAAAUACAGAUUUUAUAUCACAUCACUGUAAUAGUUUUAUCAUAACUGGUAUCAUUAAC